rnacentral:rRNA from 1 species
UACAGAGGGCUCAAGCGUUGUUCGGAUUCAUUGGGCGUAAAGGGUGCGUAGGUGGCGUCGUAAGUCAGGUGUGAAAUCUCGGGGCUUAACUCCGAAACUGCAUUUGAUACUGCGGUGCUUGAGGACUGGAGAGGAGACUGGAAUUUACGGUGUAGCGGUGAAAUGCGUAGAUAUCGUAAGGAAGACCAGUGGCGAAGGCGGGUCUCUGGACAGUUCCUGACGCUGAGGCACGAAGGCCAGGGGAGCAAACGGG